UACGAAGGGGGCUAGCGUUGUUCGGAAUUACUGGGCGUAAAGCGCGCGCAGGCGGUCUUCCAAGUCAGUGGUGAAAGCCCGGAGCUCAACUCCGGAACUGCCAUUGAAACUGUUAGACUUGAGGACGAGAGAGGUGAGUGGAAUUCCCAGUGUAGAGGUGAAAUUCGUAGAUAUUGGGAAGAACACCGGUGGCGAAGGCGGCUCACUGGCUCGUAUCUGACGCUCGGGCGACGA
rnacentral:rRNA from 1 species